UGUGGGAGCGGGCUUGCUCGCGACGGCGUUGUGUCAGCUAAAUAAUAGGCUGACUGACACUCCGUAUUCGCGAGCAAGCCCGCUCCCCCA
rnacentral:misc_RNA from 1 species